UAAACCACGGUCAGUUGGGGACGAAUAAAGGACGGUACCCACAGAGGAAGAAUCGGCUAACUACGUGCCAGCAGCCGCGGUAAGACGUAGAAUGCAAGCGUUGUCCGGAAUUAUUGGGCGUAAAGCGUUCGUAGGCGGCAUGCCAAGUCUGAUGUCAAAGCCCGGAGCUCAACUCCGGUUCGGCAUUGGAUACUGGCAAGCUAGAGUGCAGGAGAGGCAAGGGGAAUUCCUAGUGUAGCGGUGAAAUGCGUAGAUAUUAGGAGGAACACCAGUGGCGUAAGCGCCUUGCUGGACUGUAACUGACGCUGAGGGACGAAAGCCAGGGGAGCAAAUGGGAUUAGAUACCCCAGUAGUCCUGGCCGUAAACGAUGGAUACUAGGUGUCGCGGGUAUCGACCCCUGCGGUGCUGCAGCUAACGCAAUAAGUAUCCCGCCUGGGGAGUACGCACGCAAGUGUGAAACUCAAAGGAAUUGACGGGGACCCGCACAAGCGGUGGAACAUGUGGUUUAAUUCGAAGCAACGCGAAGAACCUUACCAGGGCUUGACAUCCCGAGAACUUUCCAGAGAUGGAUUGGUGCCCUUCGGGGAACUCGGUGACAGGUGGUGCACGGUUGUCGUCAGCUCGUGUCGUGAGAUGUUGGGUUAAGUCCCGCAACGAGCGCAACCCUCGUUGUUAGUUGCCAGUAAGAGCCUGCUCUUGCUGUGCUCUCUAGCGAGACUGCCGGUGAUAAACCGGAGGAAGGUGGGGACGACGUCAAAUCAUCAUGCCCCUUAUGUCCUGGGCUACACACGUGUUACAAUGGGUAGGACAGCGAGCAGCCAACCAGCAAUGGUGAGCAAAUCUCUUAAACCUACUCUCAGUUCGGAUCGCAGUCUGCAACUCGACUGCGUGAAGUCGGAAUCGCUAGUAACCGUAGAUCAGCACGCUGCGGUGAUACGUUCCCGGGUCUUGUACACACUGCCCGUCACACCAUGGAAGCUGACCACGCCCGAAGUCGGUGAGCUAACUCUUUGAGGAGCAGCCGCCUAAGGCAGGGUUGGUACCUGGGGUGAAGU
rnacentral:rRNA from 1 species